GGGAUUGCCUCAGUAACGGCGAGUGAAGCGGCAACAGCUCAAAUUUGAAAUCUGGCCCUUUCGGGGUCCGAGUUGUAAUUUGUAGAGAGUGUUUCGGGCGAGACCACGGUCUAAGUCCAUUGGAACAUGGCGUCAUAGAGGGUGAGAAUCCCGUCUGCGACCGUGGCUCGAGCCCAUGUGAAGCCUCUUCGACGAGUCGAGUUGUUUGGGAAUGCAGCUCAAAAUGGGUGGUAAAUUUCAUCUAAAGCUAAAUACUGGCUGGAGACCGAUAGCGCACAAGUAGAGUGAUCGAAAGAUGAAAAGCACUUUGGAAAGAGAGUUAAACAGUACGUGAAAUUGUUGAAAGGGAAGCGCUUGCAACCAGACCUGUCCGUAGGUGAUCAGCCGCUGUUCUCAGCGGUGCACUCGCUCUGCGAUCAGGCUAGCAUCGGUUUCGGCGACCGGAUAAAGGCCUUGGGAAUGUAGCUUCCUUUCGGGGGAGUCUUAUAGCCUUCGGUGCAAUGCGGCCAGCCGGGACCGAGGACCGCGCUUCGGCUAGGAUGCUGGCGUAAUGGUUGUAA
rnacentral:rRNA from 1 species